GGUAAACGUUGGCGGCGUGCCUAAAACAUGCAAGUCGAACGGGCAGUCUUCGGAUUGUCAGUGGCAGACGCUGAGUAACGCGUGGGUGACGUACCUAUCGGUGGGGAAUAACUGCCCGAAAGGGUGGCUAAUACCGCAUACGUCCACUGAUUCAAUUUGGUGGGGAAAACCGCAAGGUGUCGAUGGAGCGGCCCGCGUUCGAUUAGCUAGUUGGUGGGGUAACGCCUACCAAGGCGACGAUCGAUAGCUGGUCUCAGAGGAUGAUCAGCCAGACUGGGACUGAGACACGGCCCAGACUCCUACGGGAGGCAGCAGUUAGGAAUUUUGGGCAAUGGGCGCAAGCCUGACCCAGCAACGCCGCGUGGGUGACGAAGGCC
rnacentral:rRNA from 1 species